GUUUGAGUAGCUCAGCAGGAUAGAGCAACGGCCUUCUAAGCCGUCGGUCGGGGGUGGACGAAAAAGAUGCCUUAUAUU
rnacentral:tRNA from 1 species